rnacentral:rRNA from 1 species
AGGGGGACUGCUGACUAUAACCAUUUCUCAAAACAGAGGAAGGUUGCGGCAAUAACAGGUCUGUGAUGCCCUCAGAUGUCCCGGGCUGCACACGUGCUACAAUGAGUGGCGCAAUGUGCUAAUGUUUUAAGGGAUAAGCGUGCGGCCAGUAGAACGUCGGCAAUUGCCCUGGCGUCUUCUACCGCACGAUUAUCAGCCUUCCCUUAACAGGGCGGGCAACCUUUUCAAAAUACCGGUUUGAUGUUAAAGUAUAGAGUCGUUUUUUUUGGAUGGUGGUUUACGAACCAAUACCAUCCGCAACUGCUCGCGAGUUUGUGGUUCUGGUGACUCAUGGUGGGGACCGAUGUUUGUAAUUGUUUGUCGCGUGUCAACUAGGAAUGCCUUGUACUGUCGAUUCACUAAGU